rnacentral:rRNA from 1 species
GACGAACUUCUGGCGGCGUGCUUAACACAUGCAAGUCGAACGGUAAGGCUCCAGCUUGCUGGGGUACACGAGUGGCGAACGGGUGAGUAACACGUGGGUGACCUGCCCUGCACUUCGGGAUAAGCCUGGGAAACUGGGUCUAAUACCGGAUAGGACCGCACCGUGAGGGUGUGGUGGAAAGUUUUUUCGGUGUGGGAUGGGCCCGCGGCCUAUCAGCUUGUUGGUGGGGUAAUGGCCUACCAAGGCGGCGACGGGUAGCCGGCCUGAGAGGGUGGACGGCCACAUUGGGACUGAGACACGGCCCAGACUCCUACGGGAGGCAGCAGUGGGGAAUAUUGCACAAUGGGCGGAAGCCUGAUGCAGCGACGCCGCGUGGGGGAUGACGGCCUUCGGGUUGUAAACUCCUUUCACCAUCGACGAAGGGUUUCUGACGGUAGAUGGAGAAGAAGCACCGGCUAACUACGUGCCAGCAGCCGCGGUAAUACGUAGGGUGCGAGCGUUGUCCGGAAUUACUGGGCGUAAAGAGCUCGUAGGUGGUUUGUCGCGUCGUCUGUGAAAUUCCGGGGCUUAACUCCGGGCGUGCAGGCGAUACGGGCAUAACUUGAGUACUGUAGGGGAGACUGGAAUUCCUGGUGUAGCGGUGAAAUGCGCAGAUAUCAGGAGGAACACCGGUGGCGAAGGCGGGUCUCUGGGCAGUAACUGACGCUGAGGAGCGAAAGCAUGGGGAGCGAACAGGAUUAGAUACCCUGGUAGUCCAUGCCGUAAACGGUGGGCGCUAGGUGUGGGUUUCCUUCCACGGGAUCCGUGCCGUAGCUAACGCAUUAAGCGCCCCGCCUGGGGAGUACGGCCGCAAGGCUAAAACUCAAAGGAAUUGACGGGGGCCCGCACAAGCGGCGGAGCAUGUGGAUUAAUUCGAUGCAACGCGAAGAACCUUACCUGGGCUUGACAUAUACAGGAUCGCGCCAGAGAUGGUGUUUCCCUUGUGGCUUGUAUACAGGUGGUGCAUGGUUGUCGUCAGCUCGUGUCGUGAGAUGUUGGGUUAAGUCCCGCAACGAGCGCAACCCUUGUCUUAUGUUGCCAGCACGUUGUGGUGGGGACUCGUAAGAAACUGCCGGGGUUAACUCGGAGGAAGGUGGGGAUGACGUCAAAUCAUCAUGCCCCUUAUGUCCAGGGCUUCACACAUGCUACAAUGGUCGGUACAGUGGGUUGCCAGUCCGUGAGGGCGAGCUAAUCCUGCAAAGCCGGUCUCAGUUCGGAUCGGGGUCUGCAACUCGACCCCGUGAAGUCGGAGUCGCUAGUAAUCGCAGAUCAGCAACGCUGCGGUGAAUACGUUCCCGGGCCU